rnacentral:rRNA from 1 species
UACGUAGGGUGCAAGCGUUGUCCGGAAUUAUUGGGCGUAAAGAGCGCGUAGGCGGUCUGUCGGGUCGGCUGUGAAAUCCCGAGGCUCAACCUCGGGUCUGCAGUCGAUACGGGCAAACUGGAGUGUUGCAGGGGAGACUGGAAUUCCUGGUGUAGCGGUGAAAUGCGCAGAUAUCAGGAGGAACACCGGUGGCGAAGGCGGGUCUCUGGGCAACAACUGACGCUGAGGAGCGAAAGCGUGGGGAGCGAACAGG